UACGUAGGGGGGCAAGCGUUGUCCGGAUUUAUUGGGCGUAAAGGGCGCGUAGGCGGCUACGCACGUCCGUUGUGAAAUCGCUCGGCUCAACUGGGCGGGGUCAGCGGAUACGGCGUAGCUGGAGCAAGCUAGGGGGCAAUGGAAUUCCCGGUGUAGUGGUGGAAUGCGUAGAUAUCGGGAGGAACACCAGUGGCGAAGGCGGUUGCCUGGAGCUUUGCUGACGCUGAUGCGCGAAAGCGUGGGGAGCGAGUCCGG
rnacentral:rRNA from 1 species